rnacentral:lncRNA from 1 species
GUUCUCCCCAAGGUGAGGGGAAGUGGACAUAGCCUGGCAGGACUGCUUAAGAUAUGGUCAAAAACUCACCACACCUUAGACUUCUGGCACUGGCAGUUUUUACUGCGUCCUCAUUUGGCUGCCCUCAAAAUUUCAGGGCCGUCAAGGGUAGGCAUUUCUGGUGAGCCCCACUUUCCUGCAAGGGGCCUACUCUCAAACCUUUGAGGCCUACUGCUGCUCUUCCUUGCUGUCAUGGCCGACUCACUUGCCUUCUCUGAGCCUUAGAGACUAAGCUGCUUCCUUCGCACCUCUUGCACUUGUUUCUGGACACCUUGGGCCUACAGGGAGAGGGCAGGAAAAUGGGCAGUGGGAACACUUGUUUGUAGUUUUUAGCUACUUCAGAAGUUCAUUUCUCUAGGAAGAUGUAAGAGUUAUAGCAUACCCAUUCAGGGAUUCUCAACUACUGCCUCCCAAAAUACUGGAGCCGAACAACAUCUCACCCUCUUGUGGCACCAAGUUCAGAGUUCAGCGAGUCUCUGACACCAUGGCUCAGGACCACAAUACCUCAAGGGCCACCUCUCUCCAUAUGAAGCUACCUGGACCCUGAAAUCAGGUAGGAUCUGAUACAAAUGUGGUGCUCAAAUCCAAAUUGUCUUUCCUGUUGUUGUUUUUUAAAAAUAACCCAUCCUCCCUAAACCUUCAUUUAUUUUCCACUUCCUCAUCUUCAGGCCCAUCACAGCAAUUAACUCUCCCUGUAGCCUUAUGAGGCUUUGCCCUCGGAUGGGAAAAAUAUUGCGCCCGGGAAAGGGAAGUGGGAGUCAACAGACACUCAAGGAAUAGUUUCGGAGAAAAGGCUUUUAUUUCUACCAUCCAUGAACUGGUAGAAGGAGCAAGUGUGAUAGUUCACAAAAGCAUGCCCGAAGUUCACAGUCAUGUGCACAAGCAUAUAUACCCCUUUCCAGUUCCCUCCCCCUUUCUCCUCCCUCAGGAGUCCUGCCCAUGAGUUCCUCUGAGCAUGAACAGAAAGCUGUCUUGGGACUAUUGGACUCUUGGCGCCCUUCCCAGGAAAGGGGGGGGGGUGAGAGUGGUUCAGCAUGUCCAAGAUGUUGCAACCGAAAGAGAUAAGAUUCGUUUCUCAGGCCUGAGUAUUCUUGGCAAUGACAGAGCCUAUUCAUUAGUCUUUAAAAGUAACACUUUGCCUUUUGCCACAGCAUCUUGUGAGAAAAGCAGAGAAGAGCAGAGAAAAGCUGUUUUGGAUUUUUAGAAGACAAAAGGAGUUUUGGACAGUUUUGAGGCCUAGUUGAUUAUUGAAGCCUGGGGUGAUUUCACAGAUAGGAUUUGGGUAUUCUGUCCCUUCAUCCCCUCUGGCUAAACUCAAAGGAAUGUGAUUCUUUCUUAACAUGUUUUGAAGUAAAUCAACAUUGGUCCCAGAAACAGGGGGCAGCUACACAGAAUGACAAAACACACUUCUUUCUACCCAGGGGGGUGGGGAAGAACAGUAUUUGCUGCCAUCGGAAGAGCCCCAUAUAGUGAUUGAUUGAUGAUUUAUGAAUUUCUAUACUGCUUAAUAUUUUUAAAACAUCUCUAAGUGGUAUACAAAAAACGGAAGCGACAAUGGACAACUUAAAUGAAAUAUUACAAAGAUACACAGCUACAUAUAAAAAUGUUAUAUUAAUGCAAAGUUACUAAUAUAUGCAAAUCAAUAUUAAUUCAUUUUCCUUCUGGUACUCCCUCCCUCUCAGCCUCCGGCUUCUCACCCAGGGUCUAAACAAACUCUCAGCUCACCCACAAAUGUCUCACAAGAGGAGUUCCUGGAAGACAGUAGGCAUCACCCUAAUAUCUCACUGUAUAGACUUGCUUUUUAGGGGCAGGCCCAAGGUGAAUGGUACUUCCUCGGGUUGCACACAGCUGUGCCCCAUUCAGCUGUACUCUCCACACCCUGACCCAGGUUUGUUGAGUUCUCCAGGGGGUCCAAAGGAUGGGGAAAGGGCCACCCUCCACUCACAGCUCUUUCUUCACCCUCUGUCCUCUC